UUUAUGAGGGUAGAGAGGUGGUUGUAGAGGUGGCUGUAGGUGGAUGGUUAAUGUUGUUCAUUUGGUGGCUCAUUGACUUUAACAUAGACCCAUUCUCACUAUCAUACCCCCCAAGCAAAUGGGCGGGAGCGCACCAUAAGCUUGUUUGCCAACAACUUGAAACGAGUCGACGACAACCCUUUAGUGAACACAUCUGCUACCUGGUCUUCAGUACAAAGAUAUCGAACAUCAAGUUCUUUAUGAAUCACCUUAUCAUGGACAUAGUGAUAAUCUACUUCCAAAUGUUUGGUCCGUGCAUGAAACACUGGAUUUGAUGCUAAAGAUAUUUAGCUGAUAUUGUCACACCAAAUAAGUGGUGUAGAAAGAAAGAUGCCCAAAUCUUUAAACAAGGAUCGAAGCCAGGAAAUCUCAGCCGCAGUGUAUGCCAAUUGACGGUAUUCUACUUCAGUGCUAGAGCGAGAUAUAGUGCCUUGUUUCUUAGCACUCUAAGAAAUGGGAUUAUAGCCAAGAUAAAUACAAUAGCCACCAGUAGAAUGACGAUCAUCAGGAUUUCCAACAUAAUCGGCAUCUAAAUAAGCUUUAAGACGAAGAGAACCAGGUUGGUAAAACAGGCCAUGAUCGUAGGUACUUUUCACAUAACGUAGGAUUCGUUUGACCGCACUCCAAUGGGUUGUGGUUGGUUGAUGCAUAAAUUGGCACACUUGAUUGACGGCAAAAGCAAUAUCUGGACUAGUAAUUGUCAAAUAUUGGAGAGUGUCUACUAUACUCCAAAAUUCAGUUCGAUCACCAAGAGAUUCACCAUCAUACAAACUCAAUUUCUUACCAGUUUGAGCUAGAGAAGAGAUUUGUUUAGCAUCCUGAAAUUUUGUACGUUGUAGUAUAUCCCAGAUAUAUUUACUUUGUGUCAGGUAAGCCACGAGAAGUAUACACUGCCUCUAUGCCAAGGAAAAAAGUGAAGAGGACCCAAAUCUUUCAUAGAAAAUAAGAUACCUAGAUUGAAAAUGAGCUGUGAAAUAGAAGACGGAUUAUUACCAGUAAUUAAAAUGUCAUCAACAUAAAUAAGUAAAAUAAUGAUCACACUUCCUUUACGAAACGUGAAUAAUGAAUAAUCCGCCUUUGAUUCUUGAAAACCAAGCUCUUCUAUGUAAUCAGAAAAUCGCUUGAACCAAGCCCGAGGGGCUUGUUUUAACCCAUAGAGUGACUUGUGAAGCUUGCAAACAUAAUGAGGGAAAUUUGGAUCACUGAACCCAGUAGGUUGACGCAUAUAUACCUCCUCAGAUAAAAUGUCAUGGAGAAAUACAUUUUGUACAUCUAAUUGGCGAAUAGGCCAUUUGUGAUGAACAGCCAAAGCAAUGACUAUGCGAAUAGUAGAAUGUUUUACAACUGGACUGAAUGUUCCUGUAUAAUCAAAGCCUAGUUGUUGAUGAAAGCCAUUUGCAACCAGUCAGGCCUUAUACCGUUCUAUAGAGCCGUCAGAACGUCUUUUGAUUUUAAACACCCAUUUGUUUGGUAAUAUGUUCAUAUUUGGGCGAGAGGGUACUAAUGACCAAGUACCACUUCGUUGCAAAGCAUUGAAUUCGGCACCCAUAACAUUUCUCCAUUCAGCAUGCUUGACUAAAACAAGUUCGUUCAACAGGGAAUCAUACGUCACAUGCAUGGCAUAUUUCCGAUUUGGCUUGCAAACUCCAACCUUACUCCUAGUAAUCAUGGGAUGAGAUACAUCUCCUGCCACAUUUCUUGGUUCAUGGUCUUGGGACAAAGGUGUCUGAACAUGAGAGAUAGGUGAAGUGGGUUCCAUGGUGGUAGAAGAUUGGGAGUCAGUAGAAAUGGUUGGUGAAGGAAUAUUGGCUUGAAGUGAGGUAUUUGGAGUGGGACUAGGGGAAGUAGCCGGUGCAACCAAUUCAAUCACAGGUGUCGCAAAGGAAUCCAGGGAGAACACCGCUGCAGAGUCUGUGUUAGUAUUUUCUUGAAAAGGAAAAGAACCCUCAUCAAAGACUACAUGACGGGACAAAUAGACACGACCGGUGACCUGAUCUAGACAACAAUAACCUUGGUGAUUAAAUGAAUAACCCAAAAACACACACCGCUUUGACCGAAAUUGCAAUUUAUUAGUGUUAUAUGGUUUUAAAUAAGGAAAACAUGCACAACCAAAAACCCGAAGAGUAUCAUAUGCUGGGGUUUUAUGAAACAAUUUUUCAUAUGGAGUGGUGAAAUUUAAAACAAGAGUUGGUAACCGAUUAAUUACAUACAAUGCGGUAUUGAAAGCAUCAACCCAAUAUGUAAUUGGCAUAUGAGCAUGAGCCAAAAGAGUGAGACCAGUUUCAACAAUAUGCCGAUGUUUCCGUUCAGCCAACCCAUUUUGCUCAGGAUGGUGGGGACAAGAAGAACGAAAACUAAUUCCAUGGUUAGCUAAAAAUUGUUGGAAUUGACGUUUGGUGUAUUCACCUCCCCCAUCGGAUUGAAAGACUUUGAUUUUGGUCGAGAAAAGAUUUUCAACAUGCAAUUUAAAUCGGACAAAGAUAUCAAACACUUCAUAUUUAAAUUGCAUAGGAAAAAUCCAAGAAUAUCGAGAAAAAUCAUCCACAAAUAAAACAUAAUAUUUUGAUCCUUUAACAGAAACAGUGGGAGAACACCAGACAUCUGAAUGCACCAACUCUAAUGGAGUAGUAGCCAUGGAAUUUGACAAUUUAAAAGGCAAUUUUGUACUCUUGCCUAAAGGACAUGAUUGGCAAAAAAGAAGGGAACCGGAUCCCUGCAUAGUUGAAACAAGAAGCAAAAAGGUGUUGGAAGAGCAAUGACCUAGCCUUGAAUGCCAAACUUGAGCACCAACACGGACACCAACAAAAGCAAAAGGACGACCCGACUUUGUAGAAAUCUGGUUGUGAAUACUAAAUGGAUAGAGACCAUUUUCACUUUGGCCGCGGAAAAGUGUCCUCCCCGUCUUUAGAUCCUUCACAUAAAAACAAUCAGAGAAGAAAAUGAAAUAACAAUUAUUAUCUAGGGUAAAUUGAUGAACAGAAAGAAGAUUAGUAGCAACAGAUGGACAAUGUAAAAUAUUGUUCAAAUGAAAUGAUGAGGCACCAUGAGAUAUUUUAGUAGAACCAAUAUGGGCAAUAUUCAAACCUGCACCAUUACCCAUAACGACUUGAUCUUUCCCAUGAUAUUCGUUGUGAAUUGCUAAGUUAACAAGGUCUGGAGUAAUAUGAUUUGAGGCACCACUGUCAGAAAUCCAUGUCGAGGAAAUGUUGCUCAGAGAUGUUGCAGCAGCCAUAGCAGUGAGCUUUUGAGUUGGAAUACGGCCUUCAUAAGCUUGAUUCAUGCGUUGAUAACAAUCAAUUGCAAAAUGUCCUACUCGAGAGCAAAUUUGACAAAUGGACCGAGCAUUAUUCUUACUGUUUGAGCUAACAUUGGAAGACCCUUGGGAGGAAGAAAAGCUCGAGUUUGGAGGCCGACGAGUACCAGAUUGGCCUCUACCUCGCGUAGGAUAACCACGGUUGUUCAUUCCUCGUCCGCGAGAAUUGUUUUGAUGAUACUUGGGUGCAUACAUUGCUGUUGGAGUGGUCUCAAGCGCAGGAGUAUUCUGGGCUUUAAAGCGAAUUUCAGCACUAUGGAGUAAUGCCACAAGAUCAUCAUAGGAUAUAGGACUGUCACGUGCUUGUGCAGAACUAACAGUGGUUUCGUAGGUUGGACCGACAUUAUUCAUGAUAAUAGUAACAAGAUCAUCAUCAUCAACUGGUUUGCCAGCUAGUGCAAAAUUAUCAGCAAUAUGAUUAAUCUUGUCAACAAAAUCAGAAAUGGAAAGACCUUCUCCUUUGAUAAUAAACAAAUCGUUUCUUAAUUGCAGAAUACGAUUUUGUGAUUGAGAAGCAUACCGCUUCUCAAGUGAUAGUCAUGUAUCAUACGAUGAAGUAAAACGAGCCACCGUGGACAACACUGGAGGAGUGAGUGAAUUAUUAAUCCAACUCAAAAUCAUUUGAUCUCUUUGAUGCCAUGAAAAAUAGGCAGGAUCAACUUUUGUGGUAAUUUUACCAUCAACAUCACAUUUGAAUUCGGGUGGACAUAGAUUUGUUCCAUCAACAAAUCCCAUUAAAUCUUUGCUUUUCAAGAUGGGUCUCAUCUAAGCAAGCCAAAUUGGGUAAUUGGUUCUGUCAAGUUUUAUAGACAUGAAACCGAAAAUACUGGGUACCAUGACACCAGAGGUAGAGCUACUGCCUUCCAUUGAAAAUGAAAGAGAGUGAGAGAGAAUUAAUGAAGAAAAAAAAAGGAAACCAAGGAAGAAAGAGCUUAAUGGUUUUGAUGAUUGUAUUGUCGUUAGACUUAUGGCUUUGAUACCAUGAUGAACUUAAUGAAUGAAUGAAUAUACUAGAACAUAUGAAUGACACAAGAAACAAUUGAAUUGAUCUUAAUUGCUUGAAUAAUUUACAGAGAUCAAAGUAUCUAUUUAUAGACAUUAUACACACACUAAAGUCAUAAGUCUUUUGCUUAAAGUCUUCAUUGAGGUCUGCUAUAGCCUUCAUCAAUUUAUGAGGGUAGAGAGGUGGCUGUAGGUGGAUGGCUGAUGUUGUUCAUUUGGUGGCUCAUUGACUUUAACAUAGACCCAUUCUCACUAUCAAAAAAGAAUGAACAACUUCCAAUUCCAAAUGACGAAGAUCGCGAUAGUGCCAGGGAUGGAGAUGAUAAUGAUGAGCCUGAUCAUAUUAUAAAUGACAAUGAGGAUGGUGAGCAUAUAAUUGAGAAUGUCAAUGAAGACCAUGGAGUUCAUGUGAAUCUCAAUGGAGAAGAUAUACAUGAGAAUGGUAAUGGUGAAAAUGAAGACAACAAUGAAAAGGAUAAAACUCUGAAUAUUUAUGAUCGGGGAAAUUGGGAUUAAAUUGAUCAAAAGUUCAUAGACUUAGUUGUAGAAAAAGGCCCUGUAAGAAAAAUGAUGUUAGCUACUUUCCUAGAGAUGUUGUUGGUAGACAAUUUU
rnacentral:lncRNA from 1 species